CAAACGCGGGAGCGACGUGCCAAAAAAAACAAACAAACAAAACACGAAAUCAACCGUGAUUUAUAUUAUUAUUAACUGUUUUAGCUUAUUUUAUUAACUAAAAAUGACGGAAUUACUUUUUAACAAGAGGUUACAGGUGCUGGUGAAGAGUAGAGAUACGAAUGAAAGGUCCAGUUUAACUCCAUGAGCAUCAAACCUUCAACAGAAGUGGGGAUCGGAAGUCCAACCACACAACCUUUCGAUAAAGAGAAUGGUGAACAUGCUGGUUCGGACUCCAAGUACUUUGAGCGACGAGAUGACAGCAUUCCACUCUGAGGUCUUUUACCCAGCAUGCAUUUGAAUAGAGAUUAACCCUUGUGUGACCUUCGUGAUGGUGUGAAUUUUGAUAUCAGUUCCUAUAAUAAAUCUAUAAUACACUAUGUACUCAAAACAGUUACACUCAGGACCUUCAGGACAAAAAUGUCCCCAUUGAAACCCAUUAAAACGGCAAUAUUUGAUCCCAGUGCCAUUAAAGCAUUAAUUCAUGAAUUCUAGGAUAUUAUGCUUUCAUUCCAGAGCCCUGGCUUCAAAGUUUAAAUUUGUAAUAUUUUCCACCAGAUGGUGCCAUUUUUCUCAUGUUUAGCCUAUGGAGCAAAUACAAGCUUUUUCCCUAUUUUCUGUUUGCUGUAUUAUAGAGCACUGCAGGACAAUUGAAUAAAUGAUGCAGCUAAAAUUGUGUGUGUGUGUUGGUGGGUUGUGUAUGGAUGUCAGAGUGAGUUUUGUUUAUUGAGAAAUUUGUGUGUGUGCAAAAAAACAACAGUGGCAUUAUGUAAACAACUGGCAUUUAAAAGGCUAAAAUCCUGAAAAUUAAUGAAUAUUUGGUAGUUAAUGAUCAGGACUGAUGUUGGUUAAAAAAUCUUAAGUCAGUGAUAGUGGAAAAUAAUAUGCAUAUUUAUAAUAUUUUUAUUGCAGUUUUUUUGACGCAGACAUUUUUGUCCUCUAAGGACCGCUGAGUAACUUUUUUUUAUUUUUAUUGACGCACAAGGGUUAACAUUAACCAAGAUCAAUAAAUGCUUUUUUCUCUCCUCAGUAAAUGUUGGUACAUAUAAUUUAAUGAAUUGGCGUAUCAUAUAAAAGUUUAAUACUAAUACAUUGUACAUGUUAACAUUAGUUAAUUAACUAUAAACAAUUGUAUUUUCAUUGAUCAACAUUAACCAAAAUCAGUAAAUGCUUUAAAAAUAUUCUUGAUUGAUAGUUCAUUUAAUGCAUUUAACAGAUAGAAAAACCUUAUUGUAAAUGGUUACCAUAACUUCUGUACCUUCAGAAGUGCCCAAGUCUUUAAACGUGGUUGGUCCAAAACCCACGACACCAUCUACUGCUUCUGCAUACUUCCCAGGAUGAUGAAAGUGUGUUGUUUAAAUGGACCUAUCUUCAUCACUACACUGUCUGCGUGGGUCGCCAUUUAUACCACUACCAAGAUGCAGACGAUAUUUUAUGACUCUUAUUCAAAAAUGUUUUCAAUUAUUUAUUAAACCUAUUUCCGUCUUGAUCUGUUUACAACGAAGAAAUUCCCUGCUUGGUGUGAGAUAUGUUUUAGACUGGGGACAUUUUUCUUGGGACCGAUAAAGUUUGGUCCUCUAGUGCCUACAAACCUCUCAUUUCAAUGUGACUUGUGUCAUACUUGAACUCUGUCUUAAAUUGACUACUUUUGCCAAACGUUCUGAGAGCUGCCAUUUUGAAUUCUCAAGAGUUUAACUUAAUUUAACUGGUUAUUUUAUUAAAGGGUAAUAAUUUAAGGACUCUUGCCUGUUGAUUGAUUGGUUGGAAAAUUGUGUGUACAUUUAUAUUUGUGUAUUUAUGGUUUAAUAUAGUAACCGUUUUAUUAUUGAGCUCAGUUUGGCAGUAGCAAAUUUAUAAGAUGAAAAUGAAUAAAAUCUUUAACACAGUUAGUAAAAGUUCUCUACAUUAACAUUUUCAGCAUGUGACCUAAAGGAAAUAACUUGAUCGCGCAUACAUCAAAAUACUUAACUUUUAUUGAAAUGCAUGUUUAGAUACUUUGACAUAUGUACAUAGUUCAAUCAAAAACAAUCACCAAAUGUUAAAAUUUAUAAUGAAGACAGCACAACAUAACCACAGAACGUAAAAAAAGCACACCGUAUUCUGAGACAAAAAGAAUAUAUUACACAAACUCAUAAAUAUCCAAAACACAACUAAUUAUAUGAACUCUCCCAUCAAUAACAUAUCUUUAAAUUUGGUCAAAUAUUGUAUCUUAAAACAAGCCAUUCUACUGUCUCAAUGAAAAAUACACAAAGGCCACUGGCAAAUUUUAUCUCCUUGCUCUCAAAUGUACUUCCGUCAAUUGGCAAAAACAAAGUGUAAAUUUUUUAGUAGGUAAAUGUUUCCCAGCGAGGCUGAAGUAAAUCCAGAAAGCAACUGAAGUAUAAUCAGCUCAACCGUUCUCUGUUAAGAAAGGCUAACACUGAUCCUUCCUCAAAUCUUGUAAUCAGAUUUUUGAUGAAUCACAAAUUCUUAUCUGAUCCCACCGGCUUCGCCAAUUCCUGUCAACAAUGCAAUGUAAGCUGGGGAAGGCACCAUUGAUUCAAAGUAGUACAAAUAAAACAGGCAUCAGCUUAAUAUAUGAGCAACAAAUAAAAGGGAACUGUACAACAAUCAUUUCAUUUGCGAAAAAAUUUCAAAGCUGAACCAUCAGUUAAGGCCAUUCACAACGAAGCGAUGGGAAUCUUUACGAUUAUCCUCAACAGUCAGUUAAGGCCAUUCAUGACGAAGCACUGGGAAUCUGUAUGAUUAUCCAUUAUAUUCCCUAACAACCUUAUCUCAUGAACCCAGCACGUUCACAGCAAAACCACUUCAUUCAGUAAUUUCAUUCGGCCUCAUUCAUGAAACACAAGCGUAUUUCAUGGCCAUUUGUCAAAACAUUCGUAAGAAUGAUUUUUGAAACUA